rnacentral:rRNA from 1 species
CACGUAGGGCGCAAGCGUUGUCCGGAAUUAUUGGGCGUAAAGAGCUCGUAGGUGGUUUGUUACGUCUGCUGUGAAAUCCUAGGGCUUAACCCUGGGCUUGCAGUGGAUACGGGCAGACUAGAGGUAGGUAGGGGAGAAUGGAAUUCCUGGUGUAGCGGUGAAAUGCGCAGAUAUCAGGAGGAACACCGGUGGCGAAGGCGGUUCUCUGGGCCUUACCUGACACUGAGGAGCGAAAGCAUGGGUAGCGAACAGG